GAGUUUGAUCCUGGCUCAGAGCGAACGCUGGCGGCAGGCUUAACACAUGCAAGUCGAGCGGGCGUAGCAAUACGUCAGCGGCAGACGGGUGAGUAACGCGUGGGAACGUACCUUUUGGUUCGGAACAACACAGGGAAACUUGUGCUAAUACCGGAUAAGCCCUUACGGGGAAAGAUUUAUCGCCGAAAGAUCGGCCCGCGUCUGAUUAGCUAGUUGGUAGGGUAAUGGCCUACCAAGGCGACGAUCAGUAGCUGGUCUGAGAGGAUGAUCAGCCACAUUGGGACUGAGACACGGCCCAAACUCCUACGGGAGGCAGCAGUGGGGAAUAUUGGACAAUGGGGGCAACCCUGAUCCAGCCAUGCCGCGUGAGUGAUGAAGGCCCUAGGGUUGUAAAGCUCUUUUGUGCGGGAAGAUAAUGACGGUACCGCAAGAAUAAGCCCCGGCUAACUUCGUGCCAGCAGCCGCGGUAAUACGAAGGGGGCUAGCGUUGCUCGGAAUCAC
rnacentral:rRNA from 1 species